rnacentral:misc_RNA from 1 species
AAGAGCUUGUUGCGGCGCAUUUUAGAGGAUUUUUAAUUAUAAAUUUAUAAUUACAUCAAGAAAUUUACCGUCUAUCCCAUCUCAGUUAAGGUAAGGGGGUAAGUUGGCCCUACGGAAGUACUGAAAAGUGAUUAUUUAUAUUAUGUUCAUAUAUUUCCUCCUAUAUCACAGCCAUGUUGAAGUAGUGUUGAUUUUACUAAGUUUUCAUCAGUUUAUCGUCUCAAAAAGUUAAACGUUGAUCACAAGUAUAUGUGAAAGACCCAAGUUAAGUUUGUGUUGUGAAAGUAAAAAGUUAAAAGUCUAUCAAUAUGAAAAGUGUUAUAAAGUGCCACCGAAUCUGGCGUCGAGGCGUCAUCUUUAAGGUAAGGCUGGAUGUGUCUUCAAUAUACAUCAGAACGUAGCAUUAUAACGGUUGUGACAUCAGCCAACAAAAAAUCACGUACAUAGCAGUUAUACAAUAUUGAACAUUCGUAAUUUCAUAUUAUACAUUAGGUUGCUUUGUACACAAGUGCAAACAACACCUUUGUGCCAAGAAUCGACAUUAAAUUUACCGAAUAUUUCGUACCAUUAAAUUAAAGCUGAGCUUGUUCUUAUCUACAGUCUAUAAGCAAAACAUUUUCUUUUCAUACAUAAACUGUUUUGUUUCCAUACAUCACUUGCUUGCACAUGAAAUAAGAAAGUGUGUACUAACUGUUAAAUAUUUUGGUCUGAAAUGCUAAUUUAACUAGUAACUAUGAUCUCAAGGAAUGCUUUUGGGUUGGGUACCUUGAGCCACAUUUACAAUCUUCAUAUAAAAUCACACUCUGUUCUCAGGGAUGGAUUCAGAAGAUUCCCGUGAUGGUCAGGGAGAUGCACAGUCGUCCUCAAGUAGUAGCAGCUCAAGCUCCAGAAGUCGACGGAGCUCAUCAUCAAGUGUAUCAUCUAAAAAGGAUGCUAAAUCACCUCCACAUUCACCUCCUCGGUCACCACCACGAUCGCCACCGCGUUCCCCACCUCAAUCACCCCCCAGAUCACCUCCAUCGCCAAAUUCAGAUGGCCCUAGGUCUCCUUCACCUGACAACCACUCACGGUCUCCUUCACUGCGGUCUCAAUCUCCUAGUAAACCUCGCUCUCCCAGUAACUUGAGUGGAGCUCAUUCAGAUAUAAAUUCACCUGAAAAUUCCAUGCCAACAUCUCCUGCUGGCCCAAAGUCCCCAGAUGCUCCUAAGUCACCCAGUGAGCCUGGUUCUCCUGAUAAUCGUGAGCAGUACUCAGGGCGUCAUUCAGGUGGUGAGGGUCCAAAAACUCCUCAAAGUCCAAGUAGUUCAGUGCGGUCUGGUCCUGGAUCUCCUGACACUAGGUCUCGGCCUGCUUCACCAGACUCUGCGUCUCAGGCAACAUCCCCUUCAAGAAAUCCUGAUCGAAGUUCCCGCCCCUCAAGCCCCUCUCCUGAUAGGAAUUCGUCAAGGUCUUCAGUAGUAAUGUCACCAAAAAAACGUGAAUGGAGCCCUAAAGAAAAUUGGAGGAGGCAUACUAAAGCCGAGCAGAAAAUGGUACCUCGGUCACGAGAAAGAAGCAGAUCAGAAUCUAGUCAGUCGAGUAGGAGCUCUUCAUAUAAUAAGAGAACUAGUGCUAAGGAUCCUGCCACUGAAGAGAUUUCUGAAGGUGAAAUGGAAUCAGACCAGGAGGAAGAUAAGAAAUCUAGGAGUAAAUCACAAAGUAGCGAUAAACCUGAUGGAAAAGACUUGAAUAUCAGCCAUGAAGACCUGUCAGAUGUAUCAGAUCUUGACUCUAUAGGACCAGAUGACAGUGCUAAAGGAUCAAAGCCUAAAUCUGCACCUGCGUCUCCAGAAAAACCGGAAGUCAAUGGAAAUAAUGGGAUCAGCUCACAAUCAUCACCUAAAUCUCCUAAAUCAGACAGCGGGAAAGUAGAUACACCAAAAUUGGACAAAGUUCCCCUAGAAAAGACCAGUAACACAGAGGAUGGGGAGGAGCAACUAGACUUUGAAGCCGAGGAAGGUGAAUGUGUGGAGCCUAAAACUGCCGAACAGGCUAAUGGAGAUGGAGAGAUUGUUGACAAAGCAGAAGAAGUGAAGCCGCGCCGUGUAUCUCGAGGCUCAUCGCUGGAAGAAGGCGAAGUGUCGGAUGAGGCCGAACGUAGACCUGAAGAGAGUGAACCAAGACCUGUGUGCCGGUUCUUCUCGCGCGGUGCUUGCACGUGGGGCGUCAGCUGCAGGUUUCUACACCCAGGGGUGACGGACAAGGGCAACUACAACAUGUUCGACGUGGUGCGAGGAGUCCCCGCAACGGGCUACACUGCGCCGCCGCGCGAUGCCGCCCCGCCCGAGUCCGCCUGGGAACGUGGCCUGAGAACCGCCAAGGAGAUGCUAAGGAUAGCGAACAAACGCAAGGAGCAAGACAUGGAUUUCGAGGAAAAGAAGCUGCAUCUCUCCGUAGGAGGUGUUGUUCACGACCCUGAUGCAGAGUUGGCUUACGCGGCAGCCGCCGUUGGUGCCUCACCGCCUAGGCAUGAACCUAUGCGCGAUCCUGAUGUAUUUAGACCAGGACAUGACGUGCACGGUCCCUACGGGCCGAUGUACCGUGGACGCUUCCCGCGGCCAGUACUGGAUGAGCGUGAGCGAUUCUUCGAGCGGGAGCGAGUUUAUGAGCGUGAGCGGGUGUACGACCGAGGGCACUACGAUGAGCGCUCCGUUAUGGCCGAGGAACCGGCCUACCAUAAGCGUCGUGUGCGAUCUUCCCGCGAAGUGAUCGUCCAACGCGCCGAAGUGGAACGUCGCGAGGCGCGCGAGGGGCGGCGGGACGUGCGGGACGGGCGGGCGCGGGACGUGCGGGACGCGCGGGACGCGCGGGACAUGCGGGACAUGCGGGACGGGCGGGACGUGCGGGACGGGCGCGGCGACGACUGGGCCGACCCCUGGAUGCGCGCCGAGCCCGCCGCGCGCCGCCGCCGUCCGCCCUCCUCUGACGAAUCCUACUCCUCCUCAAGCUCUCGCAGCUCGCGGUCGCCGGGCGCGCGCCGUAAGCGGAGGGCCUCCUCGUCCUCCAGGCAACGGAUGAAGUUGAUCCAUAUGGCCGCACCAAAGCAUCUAGUCGAAACAGAGACCGAAAACGGUACUCCAGAUCAUCAUCAUCUGGUUCAGAAUCAUCAUCGUCGUCCAGCGAGUCGGAGAGCGAGUCUCAUUCAUCAUCGUCAUCUGGAAGCUCCGGGGCGCGGCGCGCGCGGCAGGCGCGACUCCUCAACGCCGCCGCGAGGCCUAGGUUAAACGCUAAGUCCAGUGCCGGUUUAGCAGCUGCAGUCUCAACAACUGUAGCAAGUAAAAAGGAAUCCACUAGUGAUAAAGAAUCCGGUGGCAAGAAGCGGCCAGCUGGCUCACCGCCGAACUCGGGACCAGCAAAGAAA